AUAAAUAUUCUUCUGUCUUUUUUACUUUAUGUAUGCUCAUGGCAGAAUUGGACGGGCACCACCCUUUCCGAGAAAGUCAAAAUCGCCUUGCUGAGGAAACGCCCAGGCUGGAAUGCAGUGGUGCGAUCAUAGCUCACUGCAGCCUCGAAAUCCUUGGCUUAAGAGACCUCCCAGCCUCCCCAAAAGCUGAGACUACAGAUAUACUUCACCACCUCCAGCAAAUAUUUUUCUUUUCUUUUCUUUUCUUUUUUGUAGAGACAGGGGUCUCGCUAUGUUGUCCAGGCUGGUCUCGAACAUCUGGCCUCGGCUGCAGCCUGUGGGGCAGGAAUGCAGGUUGGUGGCAGGCAGCCAGGGCACAGACCGGCUGCUGCUGGGGGCCCGAAAACAGGGCAGGCAUCACCACCCCACCAGCCCCACCCAGGAGGGUGAAGAGCUGGCUGGGCAUGGUGACACGCACCUGUAGCCCCAGUUACUCAGGAGACU
rnacentral:lncRNA from 1 species